rnacentral:lncRNA from 1 species
UGACUCACUGUGGUCUAAUAUAUCCGUGUUUAUGCGUGUGUUUUCUCUGUCCUCCAGGUGUCGUCCUCCAGGGCCGUUCACUCUCUUCCUCAGGCGGCGGCAUGUUUUAGGACGGACCCUUCGCCGCGACCAUGAAAAGCUUAGGGGCGAACCGUAGCCGCCAUCUGUCCGACACCUGCGACCCCACAGCGGGCCCCCAGGAGCCGCUGUGCCCCCUGGCUCCGGACCCCCACGCCACCUUCCUCCUGAGCCCAAGCGUCAACCAUUAUGGCACUCUGGACCCUCAUCUCCAUCACUUCCCAGUGUCUCCUCCGACGGCGGCGCUUCAGUCCGACUGCCUGCUGCCGCUCAACAACCAGAUGAGCAACAGCAGCACCUUCCCUCGCCUGCACUACAGCGGCCCGCAGGAGCACAGCGAAUACACACAGGGUUGUGUGACUCAGACGGGCAGUCGCUCGGGCACCCUCACCUCGUCCAUGUCCAUGGGUCUUGGUCUGGGCCUCGGCGCUCCAGCAAUGAUCAGCAGCGGUACAGCCACAAUCUCCUCUGCUACUGCCGCCAAGAUGAACCGACUGCCGGCUAAUCUGCUGGACCAGCUGGAGCGCCACCUACCGCUGCAGCGCGACGGCUUCAGCACGCUACAGUUCCACCGGCGCAGCCGCGGCUCCAAACCACGCAGCGAGAGCCCCAGCCGCAUCCGAAACCUGGUGCAGUCUGUGCAGAAGCUCUUCGCAAAGUCACAAUCCCUAGAGGUGUCCGCAAUUAAAGCCGGCAGCAUAACAAGCGGAGAUAAAACCGGCAGACGAAGCAAAAGCAAAGAUCGUGCAAAAACCGAAGGCACCAAACGUCGCCCGAGACCCAAUCUCUCCGGUUUCUGGAGCUCAGAUGAUGGUUUAGAGGAUGAUCCGCCAGCUCAACCCACCGCUGGGCCGCUAGCGGUGGCAUAUCGUAACCCGCUUAGCAUGAUGACACUAGGCAGAGCUGUAUCUGACAGCCAGGCGGCGCUCAAACCGCAUCCGCAGGGCUACAACACCAUCGCCGCGCUCAAAUCCUCCAAGAGCAGCGGAGAGCUGAAAGCACAGGCCAGUCUGCCACCAGCUGGAGCCCAGCACGCAGAGCUGGUGAAGAGAGGCUCCUGGUCCACGCUGACCCUCAGUCAGGCCAGACAGGUGCUGCAGAAGAGCUCCGCCACCGUCAACCGCACGCUGCUCAAGUCCAAGUCCUGCCACGGACAGGAGAUGACCUGCAACUUCCUACAGGUCAGAGACACACAUGAGGUGUCAUUAUGACACACUUGGAUAUUGCUUGAUUAUAAUAGCAGGCUGUCCCGGGAGAGACCCCUGAGCUUGGAGAUGAUUGAGCCCAGGGCUCCUGCCUGGUCAAUGAGCAUGUGAGGGAGUACAACAUCAGGCAGUUCCCCUGGUAAAAGAAGAAAGGAGGAGAUAGGGUGGAUGGGGGGAUUCUUCAAAAAAUGCUAGUAAUGCUAGUCGAGUUAUUUAUAGUGAGUUUGGAACGAUCCGAUUGGCUUACUAAUGAUUACAGAUGAGAGACCAGCUGCGAUUUGUGCUUCACUAUUUCCCAACCCUGUUCCUGAAGGCACACCAACAGUACAUAUUUUGGAUGUCUCCCUUAUCUGACUCAUUAUUUUUAGGUUUUGGAGUCUCUUCUAACGUUCUGAUGAGUUGAUUCAAGUGUGAUUGAUUUGGAAGAGGUUGAAAAGGUGAACUGUUGAUGUGCUUUUAGGAACAGGGUUGGGUUAUAAACACACACACACACACACACACACACACAUAUAUAUAUAUAUA